GAUGAAGAACGCAGCGAAAUGCGAUAACUAAUGUGAAUUGCAUAAUUCAGUGAAUCAUCGAGUCUUUGAACGCACAUUGCGCCCCCUGGUAUUCCGGGGGGCAUGCCUGUCCGAGCGUCAUUGCUGCCCUCAAGCACGGCUUGUGUGUUGGGCUCCGUCCCCCCGGGGACGGGCCCGAAAGGCAGCGGCGGCACCGAGUCCGGUCCUCGAGCGUAUGGGGCUUUGUCACCCGCUCUGUAGGCCCGGCCGGCGCCAGCCGACAACCCAUCAUCCUUUUCAGGUUGACCUCGGAUCAGGUAGGGAUACCCGCUGAACUUAAGCAUAUCAAUAAGCGGAGGA
rnacentral:misc_RNA from 1 species